rnacentral:lncRNA from 1 species
UUUAAUUUAUUUCAUGAUUGGUUUCUCAUUAUAAAUGGAGUGUUUCAAUAGCAAAAAAAGGUAUGUGAAUAGCAUUAUCACAUAUGAUCGAUACAAAGCAACUGGCCAGAUUAUUAUCAAAACAUUGCAUUUUGGACAGAUUUGAUGAGUCGAUCAAGUGAUUCUUCUGUUUAUAAGAGCAUUUGCACCAAUGCUCCAAUUCGGUAGGCAAUUGAUGAGACCCAUCAAUUUUCUUCAAAUAUAACAAUGCGCCAGUUCGAAAUUGCCCAGGCAAUUUGCUGGGGCCCAUGUUACAGUAAUUGCCAUGCCAAUUCAAUUGUCAAUUUUUUACCAUCAAAUUGCUUAAGCAAUUCAGUGGAGCCCACUGAUAAAUAUAAACUUUGCACACACAUAUCUGUUUUUUGCCUCUAAAAACUGAUAUUUUUUCAUAAAAUAAUUAAUGUUGUACGAGCAAUCUCAUUAUUAAUUAACCAAAUUAUAAGUUUAACAUUUUUAAUUAAUGAAUUACCAUUACCAAAAAGAAUUAUUUAAAUUAUAAAAUGUGAAUAGUGGAUUAGCAGGUAAAUUGCCAAAGAUAUGUAAUUGUCAAUUUCAUAUGAAUAGUGAAUUAACAAAGACAAUUCAAUUGACAAAUCAGCAAUUACUCUUGCUUAGGGGAUGCAAAUGCUCUAAGGUUGAUGGAGAUUGACUUGGCUUGAGAACUGGUUUUGUUUUGAAUUUUCAAUUAUUGACGCAGAGGCCGUGCUACGUACCUGCUUGGUCAAGACUAGCAGCAUAUUCAAACAGAUUGUAUAGUUUCAAACUAACUAUGAGUUCCUACGUUUUUGAAUUCAAACUGAAAAAUGGAAUUAAAUAGAGAUCGAGAAGAUGAUCGAAUGGUGUGAGCUUAUUUAACUAUACAUACAUAUCAUCUCCAUAGGCUCCACGCCACAUUCUGCGUGCAAGAGAUCCCCAAGAAUCAUAUGUUACUGUUCCAUAGAUAUUUUCUCCUUCAAUAUCGUAUAAUAGUCAAACAUGAAUGCCCAUAUAUAUGCUUACCUACACAAUUAUAAUGAG